rnacentral:rRNA from 1 species
UACGGAGGGUGCGAGCGUUGUCCGGAUUUACUGGGUUUAAAGGGUGCGUAGGUGGGUAGAUAAGUCAGCGGCGAAAUCUCCAGGCUUAACUUGGAAACUGCCAUUGAUACUAUCUGUCUUGAAUAUCCUGGAGGUGAGCGGAAUAUGUCAUGUAGCGGUGAAAUGCUUAGAUAUGACAUAGAACACCUAUUGCGAAGGCAGCUCACUACGGGAUUAUUGACACUGAGGCACGAAAGCGUGGGGAUCAAACAGG